UGCAGUCGACGAAGUCUUCGGACUUUAGUGGCGGACGGGUGAGUAACGCGUGAGAAUCUGCCUAUAGGUUGGGGACAACAGAUGGAAACGUCUGCUAAUACCCAAUGUGCCGAGAGGUGAAAGCUUUAGUGCCUGUAGAUGAGCUCGCGUCCGAUUAGCUAGUUGGUUAGGUAAGAGCUGACCAAGGCGACGAUCGGUAGCUGGUCUGAGAGGAUGAUCAGCCACACUGGGACUGAGACACGGCCCAGACUCCUACGGGAGGCAGCAGUGGGGAAUUUUCCGCAAUGGGCGAAAGCCUGACGGAGCAAUACCGCGUGCGGGACGAAGGCUUUUGGGUCGUAAACCGCUUUUGUUAGGGAAGAAGAACUGACGGUACCUAACGAAUCAGCAUCGGCUAACUCCGUGCCAGCAGCCGCGGUAAUACGGAGGAUGCAAGCGUUAUCCGGAUUUAUUGGGCGUAAAGCGUCCGCAGGUGGUUUAUCAAGUCUGCUGUUAAAGCGUGGGGCUUAACCCCAUAUAGGCAGUGGAAACUGAGAGACUAGAGUACGGUAGGGGUAGCGGGAAUUCCCAGUGUAGCGGUGAAAUGCGUAGAUAUUGGGAAGAACACCAGCGGCGAAGGCGCGCUACUGGGCCGAAACUGACACUCAUGGACGAAAGCUAGGGGAGCGAAAGGGAUUAGAUACCCCUGUAGUCCUAGCUGUAAACGAUGACAACUAGGUGGUUGCCGCGUUAUCGACCCGUGCAGUGCCGUAGCUAACGCGUUAAGUUGUCCGCUGGGGGAGUACGCACGCAGUGUGAAACUCAAA
rnacentral:rRNA from 1 species